rnacentral:rRNA from 1 species
AUGAACGCUGGCGGCGUGCCUAAUCCAUGCAAGUCGCGCGAACGGACGAGAAGCUUGCUUCUCUGAUGUUAGCGGCGGACGGGUGAGUAACACGUGGAUAACCUACCUAUAAGACUGGGAUAACUUCGGGAAACCGGAGCUAAUACCGGAUGAUAUUUUGAACCGCAUGGUUCAAAAGUGAAAGACGGUCUUGCUGUCACUUAUAGAUGGAUCCGCGCUGCAUUAGCUAGUUGGUAAGGUAACGGCUUACCAAGGCAACGAUGCAUAGCCGACCUGAGAGGGUGAUCGGCCACACUGGAACUGAGACACGGUCCAGACUCCUACGGGAGGCAGCAGUAGGGAAUCUUCCGCAAUGGGCGAAAGCCUGACGGAGCAACGCCGCGUGAGUGAUGAAGGUCUUCGGAUCGUAAAACUCUGUUAUUAGGGAAGAACAUAUGUGUAAGUAACUGUGCACAUCUUGACGGUACCUAACCAGAAAGCCACGGCUAACUACGUG